AUUAAAGACCUUUGACUUCGAAGUCUGGAAGACAAAGUAUCUGAACUGGAUAAAGGCCAAGAAGUUACGAAUAACCGAUUUCUUCCGGCGGCAGGAUAAAGACGGAGAUGGUUUCCUAUCACGAGAGGAAUUUGUCAACGGAAUGUUACAUACUCAUUUCCCAACAAAUAAGACGGAACUUCAUGCUGUCUUUGACAUGUUUGCCACAACUAACAGACAUUUUAUAGAGUACAAAGAUUUCAUAGAGGCCAUGAAGCCCGUGCGACAUCAAAAGGCCCGAUUACAGAGCGGCAAGAGGCAGAUGACGGACGGAGAACUGAUACACGACGAAAUUGAGAAGGAAAUCUCGCAGUGUCAGUGUAGGAACUCAUUCCGUGCCGAGAUGAUCGAUGAGGGCAAAUACCGGUUCGGAGAGAAACAAAACAUCCGGUUGGUGCGGUUCUUGAACAGUACGGUAAUGGUGCGCGUGGGUGGAGGAUGGGUCACGCUAGACGAGUUUCUGGAAACCAAUGACCCGUGUCGAGCUGGCAGUUCUGGGGAUAACUCCCUCCGGAGAAGCCGUGUGACGUCAUCAAUGGUAAAUCUGUCGGGCACGAGUGGUGCCCCUCCCCGGAACACUAUGCGAAAGUCUUCCGACUUCGGCGGUAGGUUCAACGGGCAGUCUACAGAGGACCAAACGGUUGAGUAAUUCUUCCUCAAAUAUCACAAACUCUCAAUCAAAGUCUCGCUUGCCGCCAUCUACGCCAACAAGGGGCAUGAACUCUUCCUACGGUUCCCCUCGAACCUCUCAGUCCCCUUCCCCAUAUUCCCGAUCUAAAACUCCACAGCCCACCCCCACCUACGUGCCGCGAUCUAACACUCCUACAUCAAGACUCUCAACCGGAACUCCUAGAUCAGCCAUGACACCCAAAACAUCAACUCCAACACGGUCUGGUAGGACCACACCCACUUACCCCGCCACCGGGAGAACAACGCCUUCCGGUAGAACAACGCCCUCUGGCAGAACAACGCCCACUAUGCAAAAUGGUUCUAAUUCUAUGAGACGUCUUCCAUCAACUCCAAAGGGCCCGAGGUGAUCCGAAAGCUCAGUUUAGUUUUAUGAUAUUACAUUAGGUUAUACAAUUAUGGAAUAGCGAACUCAUGGACAAUUAUAUGAUGUGCUGCAAACUCAUAUGCAGUCACGUGGCUGUCACCUGGUUCAAUCACAGGACAUUCCACAUAAUCUGAUUGGUUGACUGUUUUUGUCUCCAGUGUUAAGUGUAUUCAAGAAGACCGAGACAUACCGAAGUGAACAGAUCUUGUUAUGGUUACUUUUAUCAUUAAUUAACUUGCUUUUAUUUUUACGCGGUUCUUUUGUUAUUUGCCUGUUUUGUAUGAGAGACGAUCAAAGUUUUAAUGCAAAAAUUACAAUCAAACUUAUACUGUCCGAUACGAAUUGAAUCUAUAUUUUUCUACAAAAUCUGUUCGAAUUUAAUGGAAAAAAGAAACUUCAGUUUAUUUAAUGAUAUUUUUAUACUGCGAGAGAUUGGUGGAAUUUUUAUUGUACAUAGCAUACUUUAUCAACCCUGUCAUCCUCAUCAAUAAAUCUAUUAAUGAGUGCACUUGUAGAGAGAUAAUGGGAGAGAGGCGAGUGGAGAGUAUAUUUUGUAUGUAUAUUGGCGAAAUAAAUAAUAACCCAAUGAG
rnacentral:misc_RNA from 1 species